GACAGAGGCCCCGAGCGUUAGGCGGAAUCACUGGGCUUAAAGCGUGUGUAGGCGGAUCGUUAAGUGUCUUGUGAAAUCCCACGGCUCACCCGUGGAACUGCUGGGCAUACUGGCGAUCUUGGGCCGUUCAGGGGCGACUGGAACAAGCGGUGGAGCGGUGAAAUGCGUAGAUAUCGCUUGGAACGCCGAAGGUGAAAACAGGUCGCUGGGGACGCGCCGACGCUGAGACACGAAAGCCAGGGGAGCAAACGGG
rnacentral:rRNA from 1 species